rnacentral:lncRNA from 1 species
UGGAAGGAGGUUCCUUGCUGCCAAAAAUCCCAAGGAAAAACCAUUAAAAAUUCAGAGCCCCUUUGAACUCCCCUUUUAUGGUGUGUGGAUAGAGAUGAGCUCCUAAAUUUUAGCUCAUCUUUAUCCCUUUGUGAAUUCAAAAUAGGAGGGGUGUGGCCCCUCCUUUUUCCCUCACGCCACCAGCCAAGGGAAGGGGCGUAGGUCCCUCCCUAUUCUCCCAUUUGGUUAGCCCCCAAUCAAUCUAAUUAAUUGGGGAGGGUUGGGUCCAAGUGCUAGGAUUCAAUCCUAUUCAAAAUAAGAUUUGCACCCAUUUCAAUUUCCUCCAAAUCCUAAUCUAAUUAGGAUUUAAUUGAACCAUGACUCAAUUGAACUCUUCAAUCCUACUCCAAUUAAAAGUCUUUUAAUUAAUUAGAUUAAAAUUAAAAUUAAUUAGGACUUAAGAAAAUCCUAAUCUAAUUAGGACUUAUUAAAUUUCAGCCUUAAGGCAAUUAGGACUUUAAAAAUCCUACUCCAAAUAGGACUCUAAUUUAAUUUGAAAUCCUAAUCCAAUUAGGACUCCAAGGAUCCUACUCCAAGUAGAACUCGUAAUCAAGUCCAAUUAA